GGCCUCUUCCUCCCCUGCGUCGGCGUGUGGCAGCAUGACCGGGUCGAGAUCAUCGCCAACGACCAGGGCAACCGCACCAUGCCCUCCUACGUCGCCUUCACCGACACCGAGCGCCUCAUCGGCGACGCCGCCAAGAACCAGGUCGCCAUGAACCCCACCAACACCGUCUUCGGUACCUCCCUCCCGACCCGCUGUGUAUCAUGCGUCGUUUGUUAG
rnacentral:rRNA from 1 species